AGGUUAAGUGAAUAAGGGCGCACGGUGGAUGCCUUGGCACUAGGAGCCGAUGAAGGACGGGACUAACACCGAUAUGCUUUGGGGAGCUGUAAGUAAGCUAUGAUCCAGAGAUUUCCGAAUGGGGGAACCCAAUAUCUUUUAUAGGAUAUUACUUUUCAGUGAAUACAUAGCUGAUUAGAGGUAGACGCAGAGAACUGAAACAUCUUAGUACCUGCAGGAAGAGAAAGAAAAUUCGAUUCCCUGAGUAGCGGCGAGCGAAACGGGAAGAGCCCAAACCAACAAGCUUGCUUGUUGGGGUUGUAGGACUCCGAUAUGGUAGUCUGUUAGUAUAGUUGAAGGAUUUGGAAAAUUCCGCUAAAGAGGGUGAAAGCCCCGUAGACGAAAUGCUGACAACACCUAGGAGGAUCCUGAGUACGGCGGAACACGAGAAAUUCCGUCGGAAUCCGCGGGGACCAUCCCGCAAGGCUAAAUACUCCCUAGUGACCGAUAGUGAACCAGUACCGUGAGGGAAAGGUGAAAAGCACCCCGGAAGGGGAGUGAAAUAGAUCCUGAAACCGUGUGCCUACAACAAGUCAAAGCUCGUUAAUGAGUGAUGGCGUGCCUUUUGUAGAAUGAACCGGCGAGUUACGAUUGCAUGCGAGGUUAAGUCGAAGAGACGGAGCCGCAGCGAAAGCGAGUCUGAAUAGGGCGAAUGAGUAUGUAGUCGUAGACCCGAAACCAUGUGAUCUACCCAUGUCCAGGUUGAAGGUGCGGUAAAACGCACUGGAGGACCGAACCCACGUACGUUGAAAAGUGCGGGGAUGAGGUGUGGGUAGCGGAGAAAUUCCAAACGAACUUGGAGAUAGCUGGUUCUCUCCGAAAUAGCUUUAGGGCUAGCCUCGGAAUUGAGAAUGAUGGAGGUAGAGCACUGUUUGGACUAGGGGCCCAUCUCGGGUUACCGAAUUCAGAUAAACUCCGAAUGCCAUUCAUUUAUAUCCGGGAGUCAGACUGCGAGUGAUAAGAUCCGUAGUCGAAAGGGAAACAGCCCAGACCACCAGCUAAGGUCCCAAAAUAUAUGUUAAGUGGAAAAGGAUGUGGGGUUGCACAGACAACUAGGAUGUUGGCUUAGAAGCAGCCACCAUUUAAAGAGUGCGUAAUAGCUCACUAGUCGAGUGACCCUGCGCCGAAAAUGUACCGGGGCUAAACAUAUUACCGAAGCUGUGGACUACACCAUUAGGUGUAGUGGUAGGAGAGCGUUCUAAGGGCGUUGAAGGUCGAUCGUGAGGACGGCUGGAGCGCUUAGAAGUGAGAAUGCCGGUAUGAGUAGCGAAAGACAGGUGAGAAUCCUGUCCACCGUAUGACUAAGGUUUCCUGGGGAAGGCUCGUCCGCCCAGGGUUAGUCGGGACCUAAGCCGAGGCCGAUAGGCGUAGGCGAUGGACAACAGGUUGAUAUUCCUGUACCAGUUGUUUUUGUUUGAGCAAUGGAGGGACGCAGUAGGCUAAGGAAUGCAUGCGAUUGGAAGUGCAUGUCCAAGCAAUGAGUCUUGAGUAGAGUUAAAUGCUUUACUCUCUAAGGACAAGUUGUGACGGGGAGCGAAAUAAUAGUAGCGAAGUUCCUGAUGUCACACUGCCAAGAAAAGCUUCUAGUGAGAAAACAACUGCCCGUACCGUAAACCGACACAGGUAGUCGAGGAGAGUAUCCUAAGGUGAGCGAGCGAACUCUCGUUAAGGAACUCGGCAAAAUGACCCCGUAACUUCGGGAGAAGGGGUGCUGACUUCGGUCAGCCGCAGUGAAUAGGCCCAAGCGACUGUUUAUCAAAAACACAGGUCUCUGCAAAAUCGUAAGAUGAAGUAUAGGGGCUGACGCCUGCCCGGUGCUGGAAGGUUAAGAGGAUGGGUUAGCUUCGGCGAAGCUCAGAAUUGAAGCCCCAGUAAACGGCGGCCGUAACUAUAACGGUCCUAAGGUAGCGAAAUUCCUUGUCGGGUAAGUUCCGACCCGCACGAAAGGCGUAACGAUUUGGGCACUGUCUCAACGAGAGACUCGGUGAAAUUUUAGUACCUGUGAAGAUGCAGGUUACCCGCGACAGGACGGAAAGACCCCAUGGAGCUUUACUGUAGUUUGAUAUUGAGUGUUUGUACCACAUGUACAGGAUAGGUAGGAGCCGAUGAGACCGGAACGCUAGUUUCGGAGGAGGCGCUGGUGGGAUACUACCCUUGUGUUAUGAACCCUCUAACCCGCACCACUAAUCGUGGUGGGAGACAGUGUCAGAUGGGCAGUUUGACUGGGGCGGUCGCCUCCUAAAAGGUAACGGAGGCGCCCAAAGGUUCCCUCAGAAUGGUUGGAAAUCAUUCGAAGAGUGUAAAGGCAGAAGGGAGCUUGACUGCGAGACCUACAAGUCGAGCAGGGACGAAAGUCGGGCUUAGUGAUCCGGUGGUUCCGCAUGGAAGGGCCAUCGCUCAACGGAUAAAAGCUACCCUGGGGAUAACAGGCUUAUCUCCCCCAAGAGUCCACAUCGACGGGGAGGUUUGGCACCUCGAUGUCGGCUCGUCGCAUCCUGGGGCUGUAGUCGGUCCCAAGGGUUGGGCUGUUCGCCCAUUAAAGCGGCACGCGAGCUGGGUUCAGAACGUCGUGAGACAGUUCGGUCCCUAUCCGUCGCGGGCGUUGGAAAUUUGAGAGGAGCUGUCCUUAGUACGAGAGGACCGGGAUGGACUUACCGCUGGUGUACCAGUUGUUCUGCCAAGGGCAUUGCUGGGUAGCUAUGUAGGGAAGGGAUAAACGCUGAAAGCAUCUAAGUGUGAAGCCCACCUCAAGAUGAGAUUUCCCAUUUCUUUAAGAAAGUAAGACCCCUGAGAGAUGAUCAGGUAGAUAGGUUGGAAGUGGAAGGCUAGUGAUAGUUGGAGCGGACCAAUACUAAUCGGUCGAGGACUUAACCAAA
rnacentral:rRNA from 1 species